rnacentral:rRNA from 1 species
UACGGGGGGGGCAAGCGUUGUUCGGAAUUACUGGGCGUAAAGGGCUCGUAGGCGGCCAACUAAGUCAGACGUGAAAUCCCUCGGCUUAACCGGGGAACUGCAUCUGAUACUGGAUGGCUUGAGUUCGGGAGAGGGAUGUGGAAUUCCCGGUGUAGCAGUGAAAUGCGUAGAGAUCGGGAGGAACAUCUGUGGCGAAGGCGACUGCCUGGACCAGCACUGACACUGAGGCACGAAAGCGUGGGGAGCAAACAGG